rnacentral:rRNA from 1 species
UUAUGCCGCGUGAGUGAAGAAGGCCUUCGGGUUGUAAAGCUCUUUUGUCAGGAAAGAAACAGCAGCUCUAACACAGUUUGCGAAUGACGGUACCUGAAGAAUAAGCACCGGCUAACUACGUGCCAGCAGCCGCGGUAAUACGUAGGGUGCAAGCGUUAAUCGGAAUUACUGGGCGUAAAGCGUGCGCAGGCGGUUAUGUAAGACAGGCGUGAAAUCCCCGGGCUUAACCUGGGAAUUGCGCUUGUGACUGCAUAGCUAGAGUAUGUCAGAGGGGGGUAGAAUUCCACGUGUAGCAGUGAAAUGCGUAGAGAUGUGGAGGAAUACCAAUGGCNGAAAGGGCAGCCCCAACUGAGGAAUAAUACUGGGACGCUNNCAUGCAGCGAAAAGNNCGUGCGGCGACGCAAACAGGGAAUUAGAAAUACCCUGGGUAGGUCCGACGACCCCUAAAGACGAAUGCNUUGACUAAGAUCCGUAUACAGAGAGCACAGUUUUUAGUUGCCCUGGACGUCAACGUAAGCUAGACGCGUGAAGUCAGCCGCCUGGGGAGUACGGUACAGCAAGAUUUAAAAACUCAAAGGAAUUGANC